GAGUUUGAUCAUGGCUCAGGAUGAACGCUGGCGGCAUGCCUAACACAUGCAAGUUGAACGAGAAGUUCUGGAGGGAGUCUUCGGACGAACGAAGGGAUGGAAAGUAGCGAACGGGUGAGUAACGCGUGGGCAACCAACCUUACACAGGGGGAUAACGCAGAGAAAUUUGCGCUAAUACCGCAUAAGCGCACAGUACCGCAUGGUACGGUGUGAAAAACUCCGGUGGUGUAAGACGGGCCCGCGUCUGAUUAGUUAGUUGGUGAGGUAAAAGCUCACCAAGGCGACGAUCAGUAGCCGACCUGAGAGGGUGAUCGGCCACAUUGGGACUGAGACACGGCCCAAACUCCUACGGGAGGCAGCAGUGGGGGAUAUUGCACGAUGGAGGAAACUCUGAUGCAGCAAUGCCGCGUGAAGGAAGACGGUUUUCGGAUUGUAAACUUCUAUCAGCAGGGAAGAAAAUGACGUACCUGACUAAGAG
rnacentral:rRNA from 1 species